rnacentral:rRNA from 1 species
AUUGAACGCUGGCGGCAUGCCUUACACAUGCAAGUCGAACGGCAGCACGGGAGCAAUCCUGGUGGCGAGUGGCGAACGGGUGAGUAAUAUAUCGGAACGUGCCCAGUCGUGGGGAUAACGUAGCGAAAGCUACGCUAAUACCGCAUACGAUCUAUGGAUGAAAGCGGGGGAUCGCAAGACCUCGCGCGAUUGGAGCGGCCGAUAUCAGAUUAGGUAGUUGGUGAGGUAAAGGCUCACCAAGCCGACGAUCUGUAGCCGGUCUGAGAGGACGACCAGCCACACUGGGACUGAGACACGGCCCAGACUCCUACGGGAGGCAGCAGUGGGGAAUUUUUGGACAAUGGGCGCAAGCCUGAUCCAGCAAUGCCGCGUGCAGGAUGAAGGCC